UACGUAGGGGGCAAGCGUUGUCCGGAAUCAUUGGGCGUAAAGAGCGUGUAGGCGGCCAGAUAAGUCCGCUGUGAAAACUCGAGGCUCAACUUCGAGCUGUCGGUGGAAACUAUUUGGCUAGAGUCCGGAAGAGGAGAGUGGAAUUCCUGGCGUAGCGGUGAAAUGCGCAGAUAUCAGGAAGAACACCCGUGGCGAAGGCGGCUCUCUGGUACGGAACUGACGCUGAGACGCGAAAGCGUGGGGAGCAAACAGG
rnacentral:rRNA from 1 species